GUGUCAGCAGCCGCGGUAAUACCCGCAGCACAAGUGGUGGUCAUUAUUAUUGGGCCUAAAGCGUCCGUAGCUGGCUUGUUAGAUGCCUGGGUAAAUCGAUGCGCUCAACGCAUCGAACUCCGGGUAGACCGGCAAGCUUGGGACCGGGAGAGGCGUGAGCUACUCGAGGGGUAGGGGUAAAAUCCUGUAAUCCUUCGGGGAGGACCAGUGGCGAAGGCGUCACGCUAGAACGGCUCCGACAGUGAGGGACGAAGCCCUGGGGCGCAAACCGGAUUAGAAACCCCCGUAGUCC
rnacentral:rRNA from 1 species